UACGUAGGUGGCAAGCGUUGUCCGGAUUUACUGGGUGUAAAGGGCGUGUAGGCGGGAAUGUAAGUCAGAUGUGAAACUCCAGGGCUCAACUCUGGAACUGCAUCUGAAACUAUGUUUCUUGAGUGAUGGAGAGGAAAGCGGAAUUCCUAGUGUAGCGGUGAAAUGCGUAGAUAUUAGGAGGAACACCAGUGGCGAAGGCGGCUUUCUGGACAUUAACUGACGCUGAGGCGCGAAAGCGUGGGGAGCAAACAGG
rnacentral:rRNA from 1 species